rnacentral:rRNA from 1 species
GAUGAACGCUGGCGGCGUGCUUAACACAUGCAAGUCGAACGAAGUAUAUUGGAAUGAGUUCUUCGGAACAAAUGAAUUUAUACUUAGUGGCGGACGGGUGAGUGACGCGUGGAUAACCUGCCUUACACUGGGGGACAACAGUUAGAAAUGACUGCUAAUACAGCAUAAGCGCAGAGUACCGCAUGGUACGGUGUGAAAAACUCAGGUGGUGUAAGAUGGAUCCGCGUCUGAUUAGCUAGUUGGUGAGUUAAUGGCUAACCAAGGCGACGAUCAGUCGCCGGCCUGGGAGGGUGAACGGCCACAUUGAGCCUGAGACACGGCCCAGGCUCCUACGGGAGGCAGCAGUGGGGAAUAUUGCACAAUGGGCGAAAGCCUGAUGCAGCGACGCCGCGUGAGCGAAGAAGUAUUUCGGUAUGUAAAGCUCUAUCAGCAAGGAAGAUAAUGACGGUACUUGACUAAGAAGCCCCGGCUAACUACGUGCCAGCCGCCGCUGUAA